UCUUGGUCAUUUAGAGGAAGUAAAAGUCGUAACAAGGUUUCCGUAGGUGAACCUGCGGAAGGAUCAUUAAUGAAUUACAGAGAGUUGAUGCUGGCAGUCUUGACUGCAUGUGCUUGCUCUCUAGUCCCAUUCACACCUGUGCAUUUUUUGACUUUGAAGGCGGGGAUAAAAACCUGCCUUUGAAAUUCACAAAAACUCUUUGUUUAUAUUAAUGGAUGUUUAUCUGCCGCAAGGCGAAAUCAAAUACAACUUUUAACAACGGAUCUCUUGGCUCUCGCAUCGAUGAAGAACGCAGCGAAAUGCGAUAAGUAAUGUGAAUUGCAGAAUUCAGUGAAUCAUCGAAUCUUUGAACGCACCUUGCGCUCCCUGGUAUUCCGGGGAGCACACCUGUUCGAGUGUCAUGAAACUCUCAAACAAGAUGGAUUUGUUUCUAUCUCUGUUUGGAUUUGGACUUUGCUGUGUCAAUGCAGCUGGUCUGAAAUGUAUUAGCUGAUCCUAGUGAAGGGUCUGGUUCUACUCGGCAUGAUAAUUAUCUUAUGUUGAGGACGGUCUCAGGACUGGCCAGAUUUUUCUGUGGGUUGCUUCUAAUCGUCUUUGGACAAAUUAUCUAGUAUUUGACCUCGAAUCAGGUGGGACUACCCGCUGAACUUAAGCAUAUCAAUAAGCGGAGGAAAAGAAACUAACAAGGAUUCCCCUAGUAACGGCGAGUGAAGCGG
rnacentral:rRNA from 1 species